GACGAACGCUGGCGGCGUGCUUAACACAUGCAAGUCGAACGGUGAAGCAGAGCUUGCUCUGUGGAUCAGUGGCGAACGGGUGAGUAACACGUGAGUAACCUGCCCUUGACUCUGGGAUAAGCGUUGGAAACGACGUCUAAUACCGGAUACGAGCUGAGACCGCAUGGUCAUCAGUUGGAAAGAUUUUUUGGUCAAGGAUGGACUCGCGGCCUAUCAGCUUGUUGGUGAGGUAAUGGCUCACCAAGGCGACGACGGGUAGCCGGCCUGAGAGGGUGACCGGCCACACUGGGACUGAGACACGGCCCAGACUCCUACGGGAGGCAGCAGUGGGGAAUAUUGCACAAUGGGCGCAAGCCUGAUGCAGCAACGCCGCGUGAGGGAUGACGGCCUUCGGGUUGUAAACCUCUUUUAGUAGGGAAGAAGCAAAAGUGACGGUACCUGCAGAAAAAGCACCGGCUAACUACGUG
rnacentral:rRNA from 1 species